UACAGAGGUCUCAAGCGUUGUUCGGAUUCAUUGGGCGUAAAGGGUGCGUAGGUGGCGCCGUAAGUCGGGUGUGAAAUUUCGGAGCUUAACUCCGAAACUGCAUUCGAUACUGCGGUGCUUGAGGACUGGAGAGGAGACUGGAAUUCCUGGUGUAGCGGUGAAAUGCGCAGAUAUCAGGAGGAACACCGGUGGCGAAGGCGGGUCUCUGGGCCGUAACUGACGCUGAGGAGCGAAAGCAUGGGGAGCGAACAGG
rnacentral:rRNA from 1 species